rnacentral:tRNA from 1 species
GGUGAGUUGUCCGAGUGGUUGAAGGAGCCUGCCUCGAAAACAGGUGUACGGAAACGUACCGGGGGUUCGAAUCCCUCACUCACCG